rnacentral:tmRNA from 5 species
GGGGGUGCACUGGUUUCGACGGGGAAAAUGAAUUUUUGUGGGCGUGUUCAGGUUGGUCACCAGGCCUGAUAAAAAGGAGACCAAAAACUAACAGGCGAAUCUUAUGAUUACGCCAUGGCCGCCUAAUCUUCGGAUUACGUGACCAUUGAGGGCGCUCUCGCCCAAGAAACAGAAUGAGAGCAAACAUGUUGGGCGGGCAUGUAAACUUUGCCUCAAGAGUAAGUCGGGGUAACUUGAAAAAUUUACCGAGAUUUGUCAGUUUCACAAAACUGAAUGGUCUGGCCACUGGACGAUAAUCAGAGGCUACACACGUAGGCCGCAAAUUGGAUUUUUUUUCGGACGUGGGUUCGAUUCCCACCACCUCCACCA